CCUACGGGAGGCAGCAGUAGGGAAUAUUGCUCAAUGGGGGAAACCCUGAAGCAGCAACGCCGCGUGGAGGAUGAAGGUUUUCGGAUUGUAAACUCCUUUUGGUAGAGAAGAAAAUGACGGUAUCUAACGAAUAAGCACCGGCGAACUCCGUGCCAGCAGCCGCGGUAAUACGGAGGGGGCAAGCGUUACUCGGAAUUACUGGGCGUAAAGAGCGCGUAGGCGGGAUAGCAAGUCAGAUGUGAAAUCCUAUGGCUUAACCAUAGAACUGCAUUUGAAACUGUUAUUCUUGAGUACGGGAGAGGUAGGUGGAAUUCCUGGUGUAGCGGUGAAAUCCGUAGAGAUCAAGAGGAAUACUCAUUGCGAAGGCGGCCUGCUAGACCGUAACUGACGCUGAUGCGCGAAAGCGUGGGGAGCAAACAGGAUUAGAUACCCUUGUAGUC
rnacentral:rRNA from 1 species